UGGGGAAUAUUGCACAAUGGGCGCAAGCCUGAUGCAGCAACGCCGCGUGAACGAUGAAGGUCUUCGGAUCGUAAAGUUCUGUUGCAGGGGAAGAUAAUGACGGUACCCUGUGAGGAAGCCCCGGCUAACUACGUGCCAGCAGCCGCGGUAAUACGUAGGGGGCGAGCGUUAUCCGGAUUUACUGGGCGUAAAGGGUGCGUAGGUGGUCUUUCAAGUCGGUGGUUAAAGGCUACGGCUCAACCGUAGUUAGCCUCCGAAACUGGAAGACUUGAGUGCAGGAGAGGAAAGUGGAAUUCCCAGUGUAGCGGUGAAAUGCGUAGAUAUUGGGAGGAACACCAGUAGCGAAGGCGGCUUUCUGGACUGCAACUGACACUGAGGCACGAAAGCGUGGGUAGCAAACAGG
rnacentral:rRNA from 1 species